rnacentral:misc_RNA from 1 species
UUUUUUCCGAUAUUCGGUUAUCACCUGAAAAGCUCAUUUGAUCAGAACUUAUAAUUCAAACAAGAAAGAGAACCAAGGAUCAAGUAAAAUAAUAAUAUAAGCCAAAUCAUCAUGCACAGGUUGAUUAUAUAUAUAUAACAUUUCUUACAACUUAAAGAAACACUGGCAAGAUUAAAGAGGAACUGAUUCAGUUUCCAUAACAACUAUC